rnacentral:tRNA from 1 species
GCGCGGUUAGCUCAGUCGGUAGAGCAGCGGACUUUUAAUCCGUUGGUCCUGGGUUCGAGUCCCAGACCGCGUA